rnacentral:rRNA from 1 species
UGGGGAAUUUUGGACAAUGGGGGAAACCCUGAUCCAGCCAUCCCGCGUGUGCGAUGAAGGCCUUCGGGUUGUAAAGCACUUUUGGCAGGAAAGAAACGUCGCGGGUUAAUACCCCGCGAAACUGACGGUACCUGCAGAAUAAGCACCGGCUAACUACGUGCCAGCAGCCGCGGUAAUACGUAGGGUGCAAGCGUUAAUCGGAAUUACUGGGCGUAAAGCGUGCGCAGGCGGUUCGGAAAGAAAGAUGUGAAAUCCCAGAGCUUAACUUUGGAACUGCAUUUUUAACUACCGGGCUAGAGUGUGUCAGAGGGAGGUGGAAUUCCGCGUGUAGCAGUGAAAUGCGUAGAUAUGCGGAGGAACACCGAUGGCGAAGGCAGCCUCCUGGGAUAACACUGACGCUCAUGCACGAAAGCGUGGGGAGCAAACAGGAUUAGAUACCCUGGUAGUCCACGCCCUAAACGAUGGUAACUAGCUGUCCGGGGACUUGGUCUUUGGGUGGCGCAGCUAACGCAUU